rnacentral:rRNA from 1 species
AUUGAACGCUGGCGGCGUGCUUAACACAUGCAAGUCGUGCGGUAACAGGCGUAGCAAUACGUGCUGACGAGCGGCGAACGGGUGCGUAAUACAUGGGAAUCUGCCUUUUAGUGGGGAAUAACCCGGCGAAAGCCGGGCUAAUGCCGCAUAAGAUCUUCGGAUGAAAGCGGGGGAUCGUAAGACCUCGCGCUGAUAGAUGAGCCCAUGCCGGAUUAGCAGUUGGUGAGGUAACGGCUCACCAAGGCGACGAUCCGUAGCUGGUCUGAGAGGACGGCCAGCCACACUGGGACUGAGACACGGCCCAGACUCCUACGGGAGGCAGCAGUGGGGAAUAUUGGACAAUGGGGGAAACCCUGAUCCAGCGACGCCGCGUGUGUGAAGAAGGCCUGCGGGUUGUAAAG